rnacentral:rRNA from 1 species
GAUGAACGCUGGCGGCGUGCCUAAUACAUGCAAGUCGAGCGAACAGAUGAGGAGCUUGCUCCUCUGACGUUAGCGGCGGACGGGUGAGUAACACGUGGAUAACCUACCUAUAAGACUGGGAUAACUUCGGGAAACCGGAGCUAAUACCGGAUAAUAUAUUGAACCGCAUGGUUCAAUAGUGAAAGACGGUUUUGCUGUCACUUAUAGAUGGAUCCGCGCCGCAUUAGCUAGUUGGUAAGGUAACGGCUUACCAAGGCAACGAUGCGUAGCCGACCUGAGAGGGUGGUCGGCCACACUGGGACUGGGACACGGUCCAGACUCCUGCGGGGGGCACCAGUAGGGAAUCUUCCGCAAUGGGCGGAAACCUGACGGAUCAACGCCGCGGGAAGUAUGAAGGUCUUCGGAUCCUAAAACUCUGUUAUUAGGGAAAAACAAAAGUGUAAGGAACUAUGCACGGCUUGACGGUACCUAAUCAGAAAGCCACGGCUAACUACGUG